GUCGAAGAUGGGCUGUGGAUGGAAAUUUUUCAAAAAUGGAAUGGAAUGUUCUAUAAUUAAAGGGGCAUUAUGGAAAUGAUACUAGAAAUUUACAAAAAAGCUCUUGAUACUAACUUUAUAAAUGAGAAAAUAUUUUGCCCUCGAUAAAAGAAUGACUGGUACCUAAGACAAUAAAAGCCAACCACUCUCUUAAAUAAAAGAUAUCUCCACCAUCUAUUUUAAAAAAUUUAAAGGCUGAGAUCUUAUGGUUAUGGUACAUAGGAGCUUUCCGUUAACUUCUCUUUGACAGUGGCCCAAAUCUGCUAGCGAAAUGGGUUGAAAAUGGAUUGAAUCGGGUUGUCAAUGAGACCCAAACCCAACCCGCUGUGGGGAGACAAAAGGUUUUGUAACUCUCCCAUCAAUGAUGAAAAUUCAAGGGUUAUGAAACUUCCAUGAGUUAUGGGGUGACUUUUAGGCUUACGGCUCAUUAUGAGGGUGAGUUAAUGCGUCUCAUAAUGAGAGAGUUAGUGUGUAUCUAGGUUCAUUGUAUCUAGGAACACAUAAGUACUCAAAUUUGGGUAAGGUCAAAACACACAAGAGAGAGUGUGUAUGUGAGUUGUAAUUCUUAUUUUCUAAGUAGUGUAGUACUUAGCUUUUUGAGAGAAUCUCUACCUCUUUCUCUUUGUCAUUUCCCGUUGUAUACUUAGUCGUAGGACGCGAAGGUCCGGACUAGCAAUAGGGACGAAGGCUUGCCCAUUUUCGAGCAGGAAGGCGGGCGCCGCACGGACUUUGCGAACAGAACCGCUAAGGCCGUGACAAUUUGCUCAAAAAAAAAAUCAUUAUAUUUUUAUUAAUGAAUUACUAAUAAUUUUCAUCGAGUAAAAAAAAAAAAUUUCUUUUAACUAAUGAUAAUCUA
rnacentral:lncRNA from 1 species